rnacentral:rRNA from 1 species
AUGGCACGCUGCAUGCUCAAGGCAAAGCAGGUGCCGACCACGUAUUGGGGGGAGGCCGUGCUCACGGCCGUCUUCAUCCUCAACCGCUCCUUCACAAGGAGCGUCGACGGAAAGACGCCUUACGAGGCGUGGUAUGGGAGGAAGCCAGAUGUACGCUUCCUCCGUAUCUUUGGCUGUGUCGGGCACGUCAAGAUGACGCGCCCACAGCUGAAGAAGCUCGACGACAGGAGCACCCCAAUGGUGUUCAUGGGCUACGAGAUGGGCUCUAAGGCGUACAAGAUGUAUGACCCCGUCUCAAAGUGUGUGCAUGUCUCUCGUGACGUCAUCUUCGACGAAGACGCGCGAUGGAUUUGGGAGGCGUCGGGGGAGGCCCCGGCAAGCAGUUCCUUCACUGUGGACUACCCGAUGUACUCUACAACCCCGGGAAGCAAGACCCCGGGAAGUACCACCCCGGGAAGCUCGGGAGGUGUGGAUCCGGGAACAGCGACCCCGAGAACAUCGUACCCAGGUACGGUGUCGCCGGACACCACGACGUCAAGCAACGUGGGUCUCGGGAGGCAGUUCGCAACCCCGCCAAUGGCGAGGUCGAAGCUAUUCGACGCCGCCGACAGCGUUGGCGCCCCCCACAGGUUUCGGCGCAUGGGGGAUCUCCUCGGCGAGGCUGCGGCAACACCGCAACAGCCCGAGGAUGAGGACGCUGAUGACGACGAGGUCUUGCAUCUGAUGGCCGACGAGGAGCCGACCACGUUCGCGGAGGCCGAGCAAGAGGAUUGCUGGCGCCACGCGAUGCUGGACGAGCUGGCGUCGAUCAACGACAACGCCACUUGGACACUCAACACACUGCCUGCUGGGCACCGAGCCAUCGGGCUCAAGUGGGUGUUCAAGGUAAAGAAGGACGAGCACGGUGCCAUUGUCAACCACAAGGCGCGCCUCGUCGCAAAGGGCUACGUGCAGCGUGAGGGAGUGGACUUCGAGGAAGUCUUCGCUCCGGUGGCAAGGCUGGAGUCGGUACGGCCCAUCCUUGCCGUGGCCGCUCACCGCGGGUGGGAGGUACACCACAUGGAUGUCAAGUCGGCAUUUCUCAACGGUGACCUUAACGAGGAGGUGUACGUCUCCCAGCCACCCGGGUUCGUUGCAAAGGGCCACGAGCAGGGCGUGUAUCGACUACACAAGGCCCUGUAUGGUCUCCGGCAAGCCCCAAGGGCGUGGAACGCCAAGCUCGAUGCAAGCCUCGCAUCCCUUGGGUUCUCACGCAGCGCUUCUAAGCACGGUGUGUACUCGCGUGGCACCGCGAACACGCUGCUCAUCGUUGGCAUCUACGUCGACGACCUGGUCAUCGCUGGGGCAGAGCCUGAAGAGGUUCAACGCUUCAAGGGAGAGAUGCAUCGUCUCUUCAGUAUGAGCGACCUCGGGCUGCUCCGGUACUACCUUGGGCUGGAGGUGAACCAGGAGGGUGGUCGCAUCACGAUCACACAAACGGCCUACGCUACCAAGAUGCUUGAGCGAGCGGGCAUGAAGGUCUGCCAUGCCGUGCACGCUCCAAUGGAGGCACGGCUGAAACUCAGCAAGGAGAGCUCCGAGAAGACGGUAGAUGCUACACUCUACCGUAGCAUCAUCGGGAGUCUCAGGUACCUCGUGCACACUCGACCGGACAUCACGUUUGUUGUCGGGUACCUGAGUAGGUUCAUGGAAGCUCCGGCAAGCGAUCACCUGGCUGCCAUCAAGCACCUGCUCCGGUACAUCGCGGGUACGCUCACGCAUGGAUGCGUGUAUCGUCGUCGCGACGGCAAGAGCUUGGUCAGGUACAGCGACUCCGACCACGCUGGUGACGUGGACUCCCGGAAGAGCACCUCGGGCACACUAUUCCUUCUCGGGAAUAGUCCCGUCAGCUGGCAAUCGGUGAGGCAGAAGGUUGUCGCCGUAUCUUCGUGCGAGGCAGAGUACAUCGCGGCAGCUACAGCGGCCUGUCAAGGCAUUUGGCUUGCUCGCCUUCUCAGUGAGAUGCUGAAUCAGGACACCGCCCCUGCGCUCAUCUUCAUCGACAACAAGUCGGCGAUUUCCCUCUGCAAGAAUCCAGUGCUUCACGACCGCAGCAAGCACAUCGAUCUCCGCUAUCACUUCAUACGUGACUGCGUCGAGAAAGGCACGGCGAUAGUGGAGUUCAUCCGGACUGGUGAGCAGAAGGCGGACAUCCUGACCAAGUCACUUGGUCGUGUCCGGUUCCGGGAGCUGCGCGACAAGGUCGGGAUCAUCGACACCAAACUCCUUCGACAAGUUUGA